GUCCUGAAGAACCGCUCCCGACAAGAAACCACGUUCAACGGCAAAGAAAAGAAGCAACAGAGUAAAUCUGGAUGUGGCUUUCCACCGCUGGAGAAGCUCCUGAGAGGAAAGAGAUGCGGUUUGAUGCCGAGCUCGCAACUUUCCUGUUAGCCUGGAGAUUUCAGCAUCCCUCUGUCUUUAUCAGGACCUGAGCCAGUACAGGUGCAAUACCGCCUCCACCUGUCUCACCAACGGCAGAGAGUCCAGACAGUGAGGAGGGUCCAGGACCAGAAGUCCAGUCUAAUCAUCAAUGAUGAACCAGCACCUGCCUUUUCUUCUGCAUCUGGCCUCAUCAACCACAUGACAUCAACACCUUGAGUUUUCAUAGGGAUGGCAGAAUCCACCUGGGGCAAGAAAAGGUGACAAAGAAGCUGCUGGUGCUGCUUCUGAAACGGUUGCCUGGGUUACCAAUGUUGGUGUGUUGGCUUUCCAAGAUGGCGGCCGGAUUGUUGACACCACAUCUUCGAGGUGGACCCCCGGGGGUACACCGGUACAGUUAAGCCCAACGUCGUUUUUAUUGCUGGACCUUGUAAAUGAUGUUAAUAACAUGUCAGGGCUCCACAGUCACAGAUAUAGCUACAGCUACAUCAUGUGUAAUUGACUGUUUAGGGGGGGGAAUUAAAUAAAUAAAAUGAAAUGUAUUAUGACAACUUUA